UGAGUUUAUCCUGGCUCAGGAUGAACGCUGGCGGCGUGCUUAACACAUGCAAGUCGAACGGUGAAGCCCAGCUUGCUGGGUGGAUCAGUGGCGAACGGGUGAGUAACACGUGAGCAAUCUGCCCCUGACUCUGGGAUAAGCGCUGGAAACGGCGUCUAAUACUGGAUACGAGCUGCGAUCGCAUGGUCAGUAGCUGGAAAGAUUUUUUGGUCAGGGAUGAGCUCGCGGCCUAUCAGCUUGUUGGUGAGGUAAUGGCUCACCAAGGCGUCGACGGGUAGCCGGCCUGAGAGGGUGACCGGCCACACUGGGACUGAGACACGGCCCAGACUCCUACGGGAGGCAGCAGUGGGGAAUAUUGCACAAUGGGCGAAAGCCUGAUGCAGCAACGCCGCGUGAGGGAAGACGGCCUUCGGGUUGUAAACCUCUUUUAGCAGGGAAGAAGCGAAAGUGACGGUACCUGCAGAAAAAGCGCCGGCUAACUACGUGCCAGCAGCCGCGGUAAUACGUAGGGCGCAAGCGUUAUCCGGAAUUAUUGGGCGUAAAGAGCUCGUAGGCGGUUUGUCGCGUCUGCUGUGAAAUCCCGAGGCUCAACUUCGGGUCUGCAGUGGGUACGGGCAGACUAGAGUGCGGUAG
rnacentral:rRNA from 1 species